GAUGAACGCUGGCGGCGUGCCUAAUACAUGCAAGUCGAGCGAACGGACGAGAAGCUUGCUUCUCUGAUGUUAGCGGCGGACGGGUGAGUAACACGUGGAUAACCUACCUAUAAGACUGGGAUAACUUCGGGAAACCGGAGCUAAUACCGGAUGAUAUUUUGAACCGCAUGGUUCAAAAGUGAAAGACGGUCUUGCUGUCACUUAUAGAUGGAUCCGCGCUGCAUUAGCUAGUUGGUAAGGUAACGGCUUACCAAGGCAACGAUGCAUAGCCGACCUGAGAGGGUGAUCGGCCACACGGGAACUGAGACACGGUCCAGACUCCUACGGGAGGCAGCAGUAGGGAAUCUUCCGCAAUGGGCGAAAGCCUGACGGAGCAACGCCGCGUGAGUGAUGAAGGUCUUCGGAUCGUAAAACUCUGUUAUUAGGGAAGAACAUAUGUGUAAGUAACUGUGCACAUCUUGACGGUACCUAAUCAGAAAGCCACGGCUAACUACGUG
rnacentral:rRNA from 1 species